rnacentral:misc_RNA from 1 species
GAUGAAGAACGUAGCGAAAUGCGAUACGUAGUGUGAAUUGCAGAAUUCAGUGAAUCAUCGAAUCUUUGAACGCACAUUGCACCUCUCGGUAUUCCGGGAGGUAUGCCUGUUCGAGCGUCAUUUGUACCCUCCAGCUCUGCUUGGUGUUGGGUGUUUGUUCCGCCUCUGUGUGUGAACUCGCCUCAAAACAAUUGGCAGCCGGCGUACUUGUUUCGGAGCGCAGCACAUUUUGCGAUCCAGAUCAACGUACAGCGGCAUCCAAGAAGCCUUAUUUAACGCUCUUGACCUCGGAUCAGGUAGGGAUACCCGCUGAACUUAAGCAUAUCAAUAAGCGGAGGA